CCGGCAACAGAGCAAGGUGAGCAGCUGUUAGAAACAGUCGAGGAAACAACGGUUGAUUG
rnacentral:SRP_RNA from 1 species